CAGUAGCCGCGGUAAUACGGAGGGAGCUAGCGUUAUUCGGAAUUACUGGGCGUAAAGCGCACGUAGGCGGCUUUGUAAGUAAGAGGUGAAAGCCCAGAGCUCAACUCUGGAAUUGCCUUUUAGACUGCAUCGCUUGAAUCAUGGAGAGGUCAGUGGAAUUCCGAGUGUAGAGGUGAAAUUCGUAGAUAUUCGGAAGAACGCCAGUGGCGAAGGCGGCUGACUGGACAUGUAUUGACGCUGAGGUGCGAAAGCGUGGGGAGCAAACAGGAUUAGAUACCCCCGUAGUCCCUGUCUCUUAUAC
rnacentral:rRNA from 1 species